GACGAACGCUGGCGGCGUGCUCAACACAUGCAAGUCGAACGAAGUGGCGAACGGGUGAGUAACGAGUAAUCAACCUGCCCUUCAGAGGGGGACAACAGUUGGAAACGACUGCUAAUACCGCAUACUGAAGGAGGGGCUUGCAUCUGAUUAGCUGGUUGGAGGGGUAACGGCCAACCAAGGCGAUGAUCAGUAGCCGGUAUGGGAGUAGGAGUCGGCACAUUGGGACGGGGACACGGCCCAGACUGCUUCGGGAGGGAGCAGUGGGGAUUCUACCGCAAUGGACGAAAGUCUGACGGGGCAACGCCGCGUGAGUGAUGACUGCCGUCGGGUUGUAAAGCGCUGUUAGUCGAGACGCGGUAUCGGAAUAGAAAGCCACGGCUAACUACGUGCCAGCAGCCGCGGUAAUAC
rnacentral:rRNA from 1 species